rnacentral:rRNA from 1 species
GACGAACGCUGGCGGCGUGCUUAACACAUGCAAGUCGAACGGAAAGGCCUGCUUUCCCUUGUGGAUUGCGGGUACUCGAGUGGCGAACGGGUGAGUAACACGUGAGUGAUCUGCCCCCAACUUGGGUAUAAGCCUGGGAAACUGGGUCUAAUUCCCGAUAGGACUGCAGGGUGGUGCCUGUGGUGGAAAACGAUUUUCUAGUGGUUGGGGAUGAGCUCGCGGCCUAUCAGCUUGUUGGUGGGGUAAUGGCCUACCAAGGCGGCGACGGGUAGCCGGCGUGAGAGGGUGGACGGCCACAUUGGGACUGAGAUACGGCCCAGACUCCUACGGGAGGCAGCAGUGGGGAAGAUUGGACAAUGGGCGGAAGCCUGAUGCAGCGACGCCGCGUGGGGGAUGACGGCCUUCGGGUUGUAAACUCCUUUCGACCGCGAGGAAGCCACCUGGUUGGAAGGGUGGUGACGGUAGUGGUAGAAGAAGCACCGGCUAACUACGUG